rnacentral:rRNA from 1 species
GAUGAACGCUGGCGGCGUGCCUAAUACAUGCAAGUCGAGCGAAUGGAUUGAGAGCUUGCUCUUAUGAAGUUAGCGGCGGACGGGUGAGUAACACGUGGGUAACCUGCCCAUAAGACUGGGAUAACUCCGGGAAACCGGGGCUAAUACCGGAUAACAUUUUGAACCGCAUGGUUCGAAAUUGAAAGGCGGCCUCGGCUGUCACUUAUGGAUGGACCCGCGUCGCAUUAGCUAGUUGGUGAGGUAACGGCUCACCAAGGCAACGAUGCGUAGCCGACCUGAGAGGGUGAUCGGCCACACUGGGACUGAGACACGGCCCAGACUCCUACGGGAGGCAGCAGUAGGGAAUCUUCCGCAAUGGACGAAAGUCUGACGGAGCAACGCCGCGUGAGUGAUGAAGGCUUUCGGGUCGUAAAACUCUGUUGUUAGGGAGGAACAAGUGCUAGUUGAAUAAGCUGGCACCUUGACGGUACCUAACCAGAAAGCCACGGCUAACUACGUGCCAGCAGCCGCCGUAA